rnacentral:rRNA from 1 species
CGGCGCAAGGGUGCGUAACGCGUGAGCAACAUGCCCGUAUCAGGGGGAUAAUCCAGGGAAACUUGGUCUAAUACCCCAUAGCAAUUAAAGGAGGCAUCUUUUUUAAUUUAAAGCUUUGGUGGAUACGGAUUGGCUCGCGUGACAUUAGCUAGAUGGUAAGGUAACGGCUUACCAUGGCUACGAUGUCUAGGGGUUCUGAGAGGAAGAUCCCCCACACUGGAACUGAGACACGGUCCAGACUCCUACGGGAGGCAGCAGUGAGGAAUAUUGGACAAUGGAUGGAAAUCUGAUCCAGCCAUGCCGCGUGCAGGAAGACGGCCCUAUGGGUUGUAAACUGCUUUUGUAUGGGAGCAAUAGGGUCUAUGCGUAGACUGAUGAGAGUACCAUACGAAUAAGCAUCGGCUAACUCCGUGCCAGCAGCCGCGGUAAUACGGGGGAUGCAAGCGUUAUCCGGAUUUAUUGGGUUUAAAGGGUGCGUAGGCGGUUUGAUAAGUCAGCGGUGAAAUAUUUCAGCUUAACUGAAAGGGUGCCGUUGAUACUGUCAGGCUUGAAUAUGGUUGCUGUGGGUGGAAUGUGUGGUGUAGCGGUGAAAUGCUUAGAUAUCACACAGAAUAUCGAUUGCGAAGGCAGCUCACAAAGCCAUUAUUGACGCUGAUGCACGAAAGUGUGGGGAUCAAACAGGAUUAGAUACCCUGGUAGUCCACACUGUAAACGAUGAUAACUCGCUGUCGGCGAUACACAGUCGGUAGCCAAGCGAAAGCGAUAAGUUAUCCACCUGGGGAGUACGACCGCAAGGUUGAAACUCAAAGGAAUUGACGGGGGCCCGCACAAGCGGAGGAACAUGUGGUUUAAUUCGAUGAUACGCGAGGAACCUUACCCGGGCUCGAA